GCCGAGGUAGCUCAGUUGGUAGAGCGCUUCCCUGAAGAGGAAGAUGUCACCAGUUCGACUCUGGUCCUCGGCACUA
rnacentral:tRNA from 2 species